rnacentral:rRNA from 1 species
GAUGAACGCUGGCGGCGUGCCUAAUACAUGCAAGUCGAGCGAACAGACGAGGAGCUUGCUCCUCUGACGUUAGCGGCGGACGGGUGAGUAACACGUGGAUAACCUACCUAUAAGACUGGGAUAACUUCGGGAAACCGGAGCUAAUACCGGAUAAUAUAUUGAACCGCAUGGUUCAAUAGUGAAAGACGGUUUUGCUGUCACUUAUAGAUGGAUCCGCGCCGCAUUAGCUAGUUGGUAAGGUAACGGCUUACCAAGGCAACGAUGCGUAGCCGACCUGAGAGGGUGAUCGGCCACACUUGAACUGAGGCACGGUCCAGACUCCUACGGGAGGCAGCAGUAGGGAAACUUCCGCCAUGGGCGAAAGCCUGACGGAGCAACGCCGCGUGAGUGAUGAAGGUCUUCGGAUCGUAAAACUCUGUUAUUAGGGAAGAACAAAUGUGUAAGUAACUAUGCACGUCUUGACGGUACCUAAUCAGAAAGCCACGGCUAACUACGUG